AUUGAACGCUGGCGGAAUGCUUUACACAUGCAAGUCGAGCGGCAGCACGGGGGCAACCCUGGUGGCGAGCGGCGAACGGGUGAGUAAUACAUCGGAACAUGCCCAGUCGUGGGGGAUAACACUUCGAAAGAAGUGCUAAUACCGCAUACGUCCUGAGGGAGAAAGCGGGGGCUCGUCGGACCUCGCGCGGUUGGAGUGGCCGAUGUCAGAUUAGCUAGUUGGUGGGGUAAAGGCCUACCAAGGCAACGAUCUGUAGCUGGUCUGAGAGGAUGAUCAGCCACACUGGGACUGAGACACGGCCAAGACUCCUACGGGAGGCAGCAGUGGGGAAUUUUGGACAAUGGGGGCAACCCUGAUCCAGCCAUUCCGCGUGAGUGAAGAAGGCCUUCGGGUUGUAAAGCUCUUUCGGCAGGAACGAAACGGCGAGCUCUAACAUAGCUUGCUAAUGACGGUACCUGAAGAAGAAGCACCGGCUAACUACGUGCCAGCAGCCGCCGUAAAAC
rnacentral:rRNA from 1 species